rnacentral:lncRNA from 1 species
UGGAAUUUGGUCUGAUAAAGUUAAAUGACUCCGCAACUUUUCUAUAUUUUUUUUAAAAUUGUAUUGUUUACAUGUUUGAUGUGUAUUCUAAUUAAACUCUCAAUUCAUUUUUCAUUUUGCGUUGGAAUUCUGUUUAUGUUGUAAUGGUUUGGGAUAUUGAAAAUAGGUAAAUAUAAUAAUGGUGACCGUUUGAUCUUCAUCACUUUAAAAUCAGAUAUUUUUUAUUAAUCCGU